CUUCGUCACACGCCAUAUUUAAUUUUGAACGGCACUCGAGCAGAGAAGAAAAUAUUUCCUUGUGUCGUCGUCGUAGUUGUCGCAUAAAAAGGUCACCCAAUUGCAUAGUAAAGGCAAAACGAUAGGAGGGAGCUUCACCGAAAACGGUUGAAAAAACAAUUCACAGCCAACCAUGGGUAGCAGAGAGGAUGAAUACGAUUAUUUAUUUAAAGUUAAUUAUAUUUAAUUUGUGUUACAAUCAUCAUGUAAAGAUGGAUCAAUACCGAGCGAUGGCGUAGCUCAUGUGAAAUUGGUCGGUGCUAGUCCAACUUUUGAUUGUUUCAAUUGAACAGCCUCCAAAUUUAGUGCCUAAUGUGUAGAGAGGGAUACACUUAAAAUACCGAAGUUCAAAAUCCGGACACAUCGAAAUUUAAAUCAUCUAAAUAAAUCAAAAUACCGAAAAACCAAAACGCCGACAAACCAAAAUGCCGACAUGUGAAGAAUAUUUUACCUUAUCCGCCCUUAUUUCUAUCGAAGCACAGAAAAAGAGUUCUACUGACUAAGGGUUAUGAUCCUGAGCGUGUUCGUGGUCGGAGGCUCAAGUCCGCAAGGCCUCGAACGAACAACGCCUCUUUUUCUUGAUUUGUCGUUGAUUAGUCGGUGUUUUGAUAUUUCGGUAGUUUGAUUGUCGGCAUUACGUUAUACACCCGUGUAAAACAUAGAUUUAUCUUAAUCUUGCCAAUAAAUCGAUGGUUAAUAAUAGUCAGCUGCAAUAACUACCAUUGUCACUACUUUUACCACACGCAUCCAAGCAAACCAGACGUCCAACUUUAAUCGGCAUUCAAUUGCAUGCGGUAACAUAUUCUGCUUUGUACAGACACGUUUGCUUUGCUAUCGAUAUUGGAUAAUUGGUUAUCUGACAUGUUGCAUAAAGUAUAGUAUUUCGGAUGCGUUAGCCGCAGUGUUAGCAGUUUCCUAUAAAUGCUUUUAGUUUUAUAUCACAUUUUAUCUCCGUAUUUUAAGUCUU